AAGGUAAUUAUUCUAAAAUUUAUACUUUUCAAUACUGGACUAAUUUGUGCAUUUACUAGCCAAUAUGCUUAGGUGAGCAUAUCGCCCAUUGGCCACUUGUUUAUUUUAGAAAUCUUCUCACUUGGUAUGAAUUGCCAAUGAUCCCCUUUUGGUGUCUGUUCUUAUCUUUUUAAGCAGAAUAAUGUUAGGGUUGAACAGGAUGCUGAAGUGAGGAAGACUCCCUCUCCCAUUAAACUGCAGACAUCAGCAGAAAGCAGAAUUUCAGUUCCUCUUUAAUUCAGAAGAGGAACAACAAUGGAGGACCAAGGUCAUUAAUAUAAGAAGAGUCUAUUCCUGUCUGUGUUUUGAAGGCAUUGUGUUUCAAAAGUGCAGAAGAAAGUUAAGACUGACUAGGAAUUCUAAGUGAGGAAGAGUCCCUCUCCCAUUCCGCUGCAGCCAUGAGGAGAAUAUUUGUACUUCUUUUUUUUUUUACCUAUGGAACUUCAUCAGGACCCACUUUAACAAGCAGGAGUCUUACAAUAUUUUAAAGGGAUUUGACAAGGGAAGAAGGAAGAAGACCAGUGCUGACCAAGAGAAGAAGAAGAGUCCAUUGCCAAGCUUUGUCCAGCAGCCAAUAUCUGAUAAUGGACGCCUAGAGAAUUCCAUACGGGAGAUCACUCUCAAUGACUUUUUUUCAUAAGUGAGAAAACCUAUGUAUAAACCUUUU